CGAGCCAGAAAGGCACGCAACGAUUUAAGCCAACCGCCAACCCGUUCGAGACGUAUAACGUAUAAAGUUGGUUCGAGGCGUGCUCUCUCUCAAGGAAUAAAGUGAAGAGCACUCUCUCCGGCUCUCCUUGGGUGGUCAGGACAUAGCGAAUUCCAACCCUUCAGAAUUCCAGGAAGGACCGUUACAUAUAUUGCCACAUGAGUGUUCGUUUGAUGCGUUCUCGCCACUUUGCUCGAAAGUCCAGUGGACAUGGUUUGGCCUCGUACAUUCAGUAGUGGAGGCAUUACAAGGUGUGUACAAAUCGAAGUGGCUCGUGUAAGCAUCACGCCGACGACGCAGCCUUGAGAUUCUGCGAAUCGAAUACAAGGCAAUCUGCAUUUCACGAAGAUAACACCUUUGAGCGGCCGUGUAUAUUGUUGCAACUUAACGACAUUGGGAUGCAAGAUUUUGAUCGUUUUCAUCUACGAGCAUUUGUCUUUUUUUAUCCACAAUUUCAAGCAAAUUGUAGAAGAUUAUGGAAAUUUUAGACUUUAUAAUCCUUUUAAGCGAUUGAAGACGAUAAUCAGAUACCUACAUGCGUUGCAUGUGGGAUUCGUGUUGGUCCUGUUUGAAUAGUAAGCUGUAUUACGAGUAUAAAUCGUAUGUUAGAAGGCAAAAAGACAAGAGGAUAAUGCUAGUGUUGAAAACAAAAUGUGUAGCCACGACGUUGCGAAUAAAAGUGAUAAAAAUUCAUGAGGAAAUAUUUAACCAAAUUAGGGAGUCAAAGACCGAUACUUUUCAAAGAUCAGUCAUAAUAUAUUUCGUAAUUUUAUUCGAUAAAUUUUUAUAUAUUUAGAAAUGAGAUCG